GGGCGGCCAGCCUAUACAUGCAGUCGAACGCGCAGCGAAAGGUGUUUGCACCUUUCAAGCGAGUGGCGAACGGGUGAGUAACACGUGGAUAACCUGCCUCAAGGCUGGGGAUAACAUUUGGAAACAGAUGCUAAUACCGAAUAAAACUUAGUAUCGCAUGAUACAAAGUUGAAAGGCGCUACGGCGUCACCUAGAGAUGGGUCCGCGGUGCAUUAGUUAGUUGGUGGGGUAAAGGCCUACCAAGACAAUGAUGCAUAGCCGAGUUGAGAGACUGAUCGGCCACAUUGGGACUGAGACACGGCCCAAACUCCUACGGGAGGCUGCAGUAGGGAAUCUUCCACAAUGGGCGAAAGCCUGAUGGAGCAACGCCGCGUGUGUGAUGAAGGCUUUAGGGUCGUAAAGCACUGUUGUAUGGGAAGAAAUGCUAGAAUAGGGAAUGAUUCUAGUUCGACGGUACCAUACCAGAAAGGGACGGCUAAAUACGUGCCAGCAGCCGCGGUAAUACGUAUGUCCCGAGCGUUAUCCGGAUUUAUUGGGCGUAAAGCGAGCGCAGACGGUUGAUUAAGUCUGAUGUGAAAGCCCGGAGCUCAACUCCGGAAUGGCAUUGGAAACUGGUUAACUUGAGUGUUGUAGAGGUAAGUGGAACUCCAUGUGUAGCGGUGGAAUGCGUAGAUAUAUGGAAGAACACCAGUGGCGAAGGCGGCUUACUGGACAACAACUGACGUUGAGGCUCGAAAGUGUGGGUAGCAAACAGGAUUAGAUACCCUGGUAGUCCACACCGUAAACGAUGAAUACUAGGUGUUAGGAGGUUUCCGCCUCUUAGUGCCGAAGCUAACGCAUUAAGUAUUCCGCCUGGGGAGUACGACCGCAAGGUUGAAACUCAAAGGAAUUGACGGGGACCCGCACAAGCGGUGGAGCAUGUGGUUUAAUUCGAAGCAACGCGAAGAACCUUACCAGGUCUUGACAUCCUUUGAAGCUUCUAGAGAUAGAAGUGUUCUCUUCGGAGACAAAGUGACAGGUGGUGCAUGGUCGUCGUCAGCUCGUGUCGUGAGAUGUUGGGUUAAGUCCCGCACGAGCGCAACCCUUAUUGUUAGUUGCCAGCAUUCAGUUGGGCCUCUAGCGAGACUGCCGGUGACAAACCGGAGGAAGGGGGGGACAAAUCCAAAUAUCAUGCCCCUUUUAACUGGGGUACACCGGGUUCAAGGGGGUAACAACAAAUUGCCACCCGCGCGGG
rnacentral:rRNA from 1 species